GGUUAUGGCUCAGUGGUAGAGUGUUCACCUUGCACCUGCGAGGCCCUGGGUUUGAUCCUCAGCACCA
rnacentral:tRNA from 1 species